GCUUAGAUCAGGCCCAAAACAAUCAAGCCUGACCCUACCCGAGCCUGGCCCGGCCCAACACAUUAACUGUAAUUGUGAACCUGAGCCCGAUUUAAACCCGAAAUUUUUUGUAUAC